rnacentral:rRNA from 1 species
GAUGAACGCUGGCUACAGGCUUAACACAUGCAAGUCGAGGGGAAACGGCAUUGCGUGCUUGCACUGAAUGGACGCCGACCGGCGCACGGGUGAGUAACUCGUAUCCAACCUUCCCGUUACUGCGGGAUAACCUGCCGAAAGGCAGACCAAUACCGCAUGUUCUUCGAUGACGGCAUCAGAUUCGAUGCAAAGAUCCGUCGGUAACGGAGGGGGAUGCGUAUGAUUAGCUAGUUGUCGGGGCGAAUGGCCAGCAAGGCGACGAUCAGUAGGGGGUCUGAGAGAAACGUCCCCCACAUUGGAACUGGGACACGGUCCAAACUCCUACGGGAGGCAGCAGUGAGGAAUAUUGGGCAAUGGGCGGAAGCCUGAGCCAGCCAAGUAGCGUGCAGGAUGACGGCCCUACGUGUUGUAAACUGCUUUUAGGCGGGUAUAAAGUGAGGGACGCGUCCCUUUUUGCAGGUACCGCAUGAAUAAGGACCGGCUAAUUCCGUG